UACAGAGGUCCCGAGCGUUGUUCGGAUUCACUGGGCGUAAAGGGUGCGUAGGUGGUGAGGUAAGUCGGAUGUGAAAGCUCGGAGCUCAACUCCGAAAUGGCAUUGGAAACUACCUUGCUCGAGGGUUGGAGGGGGGACUGGAAUGCCUGGUGUAGCAGUGAAAUGCGUAGAUAUCAAGCGGAACACCAGUGGCGAAGGCGAGUCCCUGGACAACUCCUGACACUGAGGCACGAAAGCUAGGGGAGCAAACAGG
rnacentral:rRNA from 1 species